CGCAUAUUUCGCCCAGGCGGAGCUCGACCGCCGAUCGAAAUCAUAAAGGCAUUCAUCGACGAGCACCGGGAGACCUUUGGGGUCGAGCCGCUCUGUGAAGUGAUGCAGAUCGCCCCG
rfam:Herbaspirillum sp. TSA66 contig01, whole genome shotgun sequence.